ACCGUGCAAAGGUAGCAUAAUCAUUUGUUCUCUAAAUAAGGACUUGUAUGAAUGGCCACACGAGGGUUUAACUGUCUCUUACUUCCAAUCAGUGAAAUUGACCCCCCCGUGAAGAGGCGGGGAUGAAUUAAUAAGACGAGAAGACCCUAUGGAGCUUUAAUUAACUAACCCAUAGUAAGAACACUUAACCACCAACCAGGUCUAACAAAACCUUACUAAUGGGUUAGCAAUUUAGGUUGGGGUGACCUCGGAGAAUAAAACAACCUCCGAGUGAUACAAGCACAGACAAACCAGUCAAAGCAUCCUAUCAUUUAUUGAUCCAAUAACUUGAUCAACGGAACAAGUUACCCUAGGGAUAACAGCGCAAUCCUAUUUGAGAGUCCAUAUCAACAAUAGGGUUUACGACCUCGAUGUUGGAUCAGGACAUCCCGAUGGUGCAGCAGCUAUCAAAGGUUCGUUUGUUCAACGAUUAAAGUCCUACGUGAUCUGAGUUCAGACCGG
rnacentral:rRNA from 1 species